UACGAAGGGGGCUAGCGUUGUUCGGAUUUACUGGGCGUAAAGCGCACGUAGGCGGAUCGUUAAGUCGGGGGUGAAAUCCUGGAGCUCAACUCCAGAACUGCCUUCGAUACUGGCGGUCUCGAGUCCGGAAGAGGUGAGUGGAACUCCUAGUGUAGAGGUGGAAUUCGUAGAUAUUAGGAAGAACACCAGUGGCGAAGGCGGCUCACUGGUCCGGUACUGACGCUGAGGUGCGAAAGCGUGGGGAGCAAACAGG
rnacentral:rRNA from 1 species